GACGAACGCUGGCGGCGUGCCUAAUACAUGCAAGUCGAACGAGAGCGACCGGUGCUUGCACUGGUCAAUCUAGUGGCGAACGGGUGAGUAACACGUGGGUAACCUGCCCAUCAGAGGGGGAUAACAUCCGGAAACGGAUGCUAAAACCGCAUAGGUCUUCGAACCGCAUGGUUUGAAGAGGAAAAGAGGCGCAAGCUUCUGCUGAUGGAUGGACCCGCGGUGCAUUAGCUAGUUGGUGAGGUAACGGCUCACCAAGGCCGUGAUGCAUAGCCGACCUGAGAGGGUGAUCGGCCACAUUAGGACUGAGACACGGACCAAACCCCUACGGGAGGCAGCAGUAGGGAAUCUUCAGCAAUGGACGCAAGUCUGACGGAGCAACGCCGCGUGAGUGAAGAAGGUUUUCGGAUCGUAAAACUCUGUUGUUAGAGAAGAACAAGUGCUAGAGUAACUGUUAGCGCCUUGACGGUAUCUAACCAGAAAGCCACGGCUAACUACGUG
rnacentral:rRNA from 1 species